rnacentral:tRNA from 1 species
UAGAAUAUGGUGUAAUAUGGUAGCACGGAGAUUUUUGAAUUCUUAGGAUCAGGUUCAAGUCCUGAAAUUCUAG